ensembl:lncRNA
GUACAUUCAAAUGUUAAUGGUAGAAUCAACACUGUGGGAAUAUGGGGUUAAAUAAAAAAUUAUUUCAUAUUUCCAUUGUGUUUUGAAAUUUCCAUAAUUAAAUGUUGGAGAGAAAAACUUCACGAGGCCUUUCCACGUUUGCCUUUUUUGGAAGACGCCAAGCAAAGGGACAUGAAUGUUCAGGGUAACUGGAUCUGCUCGGAGGAGAAGGCUGUGAGGAGCAGGAGCCACACAGUGAGGAACGGUUGCCCAGGAUCCCUGAUUCCUCUAGGAAUGCCAGAAACCUCUUGCCUUCAGAGUUCCCUCCCCACAGCUGCCUGGAUCGGGGAGGCCUUACUCAGCUCAGAGGCCAGCCAGGGGCCCAGGAAUGCGGACACGACCCUACGAAGGACACACUGCUGUCUGGGUGUGCCUGGUCAGGGAGAUUAUUCCACCACAGGGGGACAGCCGUUGUGCUGGUGACACCUCAUGAAUAAUCUGUUUCUGUGGACUCUUCUGCUGUAGUGGAGAAGAAAUGCACCAAACAUGGCUGUCAGGGGUGAGGACGCCUUUCUCUCAUCCUCUUGCAGAUCCAGAACCUCUGAUGAUGGGGCUCCCUAGGGCGCUGAGCUUUGUUCCAAAGAUUGAUCUACAUUUUCCUCUCUGACUUGUGCUGCGUGCAGUGCGCCCUUGCUCUGAUGCAGCUCUCUCAGUUGUCCAUCCAGCCUCUGCCCAUGUGAGCGCUGUUCCAUCUGGGAAGGGAAAGCUCUGCUCUUUCUCAACACUGUAAAAAUUCCUUCCUAGAAAGGUGUGGUAACUGCCCAUUCCGGGGUUUUCUCUUUCUGCUCUGCUGUUCUGCCCAGGAUUCUCUGCACAGUGCUCUCCUUUGCACCUACAGUUCCAUUCCCCUUGUCAGCCCGAGUUCCCUAGGCUUUCUGGGAUCUCUAUAACAGUUUUUAGGGUCCCUGAGCUCACGAUAUUGCUUGGCCUUGUGAAGUGCUUCCUGUUUUCACUUCCCCCUGACCACGUGGAUUUUGGCAUUUCCUUCCCAAAUCCCAAGGUCUCAUCUUGUUGAUCUCUCCUUCUUGACCUGCCCCCAGGGUGAGGAAGGAGGAUGCGGGCGGGAAGGUGAGGACUUGAGUCUGUGCUGAGACCCAGAGGAGGGCGGGUCGGGCGGCCUCUUCAGCAGGUGGACUCUGAGGGGGUCGGGAAAGAAGAGGUAGCAGAAGAGCGAGAGCAGAGAGCUUCCCUCCCCACAGACUCCAUGCAGCUUCGGGUCCUGAAGACCUGGCGUCUAUCCUGCCCGUGCUGCCGCCCAGCCAAUCCAGGCUGAUGCUCAGGGUGCGUCUCAACGAGGCAUCUGUGACGUCAUGCGGCUCCCCACCGUCUUGACAUCCUUGGGAAUUCCUCCUCAGCCCCGCCUGCCUCCCUCCUCCAUCCCACUAUCCGCCCUGUGCAGUCAGGAGGUGUCCCCAGUUCACUGGUGAAUUCAUUGGAUCUGUCACGUCGCCAGCUGGAAUGGGACAGGCCCAGAACACAGGGAUCCCAGGGGUGAAGAGGCAAAUGAAAUAAUUCAACCAGGCUACCACUGCAGGUGUGUGAUAUUAGACUGAGCGUGUCCAAUGGGGAGCAGCACAGAGAGUGUGAACAAAUCUUCACUGAGAGCAGAACGGUGCAGCAGAAGUGAGCUGGGCUCCCAACUCAGAAGAAGAAGACUCUUUCUGUGUGUUUCCAAGUGCUCAAUUCUCUACAUAAAAUCUAGCUGUUUCCGCUUUUUGCCUACUACGAAAAA